CGAGAAUCUUGCUCAACUAUUCUUGUAUCUUGCAAAUCAUUUUCGUGCACUACCAAAUACAUUAUUAAAAUAAAAUUAUAAAUUGAUAUUCAACUAUCUAAAAUUCGUUAUUGGGUCCACUAGGGUCUACCACCAUCCCUCGUCCACAUCUCUUCAGCCUAUUAGAGAGAGAGGUUCGAGAGAGGAGAAAGAAAGAGGGAAGGAAGAGAGAGAAGAUAAUGUUGGAAAUUAUGUCCUAAAUCCAAUCAAUUGUUGAUUGUAAAUGUAUUUGAAUCAAUUAUAAAUAACAUGGUAUUUAUUCAUCACCAGAACAUCUUCACAAACUCCGAUGUGAUGAAGUCCUUAGGACUGGUUUGUGUAAUGAAAUAUGAUUUUGUCACACAGGUCCUUAAAUGUUCAUGACCGUAUGAUAUACUAUUAAUAGGACAAUAGUAUUAUC
rnacentral:lncRNA from 1 species